GUCUUCAUAGAACAAAUUAUUUGCUAAUGAUUAUGAUGAAAGUUCUACAUUGACGGAGAUAUCUGCGGCACAAAUGGUUAAUCAGUCGUCGGUGCGAUUACAGCAUUAUGCACGUCAAUAUAAUGUAAUUACUCUGGCUUAAGGCGCGAUUAAUCAACUGUUCCUUUCUAUGGUAGUGUCUCUGGAGAAUUUGAAGCUGCGUCGCGUACUUAAAAAGCAAUUGUCAAUUGUCGGCGUUUGCCUUAAAUUUAGUAAAAAAAAUCAAAUCAAGAAUGAAUGGAUAGUAACCGAUGAUUUUUCCAUUUAAGAAGGCGGAGUCAUAUGUAAUCGGAAUCGCUUUUUAACUGAAUGAUUAGAAUGGAUGAACUUUAAUCCGCUACUUACAUUUUUGGCAUCAUACUGAUUUCUGGAAGGGACCGCAAUAAAACAUAAACGAUUGCACCUGUCUCUCGCAACCCUGCCUACCGUGAGAUUACCUGCAUUUAAGAAGGCAUCGACGAUCAGGGAGCUUGUGCAGCUUUGUUCUUAUGUGAUCAAUACAGAUCUAACACUGAAGUCGUGAGCGAUCAAUCGUGAAGGAAGGCGAAAGAUUUGUUUCCUUCCAAUUAUUUUUCGACGCCGAUAGAUACAAAAAGGAUACAUAAAGCUCGAUUACGCUUCGGAAUUCAUAUUGGACUAGUUUUGAGAAUUUUCGCGUCGAUGGAUCUCACCUCUGGCAACACGAGCAGCAAGAUGAAUGCAUGGAUAGCGUAUUAAAAGGGUCGGGUCUCUUCUCAAAGAAUAUCGGUGAUUUCGAUGCCUUUCGGAGUGUGCUCCGCGGAGUGGGAUACGAUGUCUCGACACGGUCGCCGUAUCCUAUUAUCGGACUCGUGGCUCACGAUCGCUCAUAAUUUUUUAUCUCGGCCGCAUUCUCGCAUCCGACCUGUAGAACACGUUUAUUUUGACCUCAGGAAUUGGCACGCUGUAUACAGAGGGUGUUUCACGAUUGCUGUUUUGUGAUUUUCCUCCUCAGCCUAUUCCUUAUUUGUGCGUUGAAUUCGUUGAGAUGUAAUGUCAAAACAACAUUAUCGACUACGAUUUCUAAAUAUGGAUCCAAAGUUCGACCGUUGUAUUUCAAAUCGAGACAUACGUCUUUCUCUCUAUCGUAUGGUGAACGCAAUGCCUAUCGGGACGCGAUCAUCGCUUCAUUUACGGUGAAACUUGAGUACAGUGACCGUAAGCUGGAUUGUUAAUCGGCAACUUAUGUGUCAAUCGGCAAUCCGAUGAUUUCAGCGCAUUCGCUACGGCUUACGUAUUUGCGUGCGGUAUUUUUUAUGGAAACAUUACAGUACACAUUGAAACUGCAACUAUAUGGACGCGUAACAUUCGCGAUCACAAAUGUGAAACUGUAGAACGAUUUCGCGGAUUAGCUUUUUGUAACUCAUCUUACGUAAUCAAGUCAAAUCUUCGGGUAACCGGAUCUGAACUCUUCGCCACGAUAUAAUUUAUAAUUAUUCGAAUAUCCAGAUGGUGUAAGUAAAAACGCGCGCUUAAACUUUUGACAAGAUAAUAGCUUCCAUUAAUAACUCUGUCAGUGGAAAGAGCAAAAAUAUUAAAUUUUACAUCAUAUAUAGGCCACAUUUCGCGUAAUAGAUCAACUCGGGUUGCCCAGAGAUACUCAGAGUUUCCGACCCAGCACGUGUACGCACGAAUCGGGCUGGCCGAUGAUGCCGCUCCGGAGAUGCUCAACGCAUAACGAUUAUGCAACGAAGCCGCUCGAUUGCGCGAAGUUUGCUCUCCAUAGAGAUACGUUCGAUUGCUGACGACGGCGAUGACGACCCCGCGGCAUUCGGGUAUAAUUCUCGCGUCGAAAGAGCCGAUAUAAUUACAAGGGAGAAUGUACAGCCGAUACA